CUGCUCAACACAUAAAGUAGUGCCUACUUGUGGAAGGCCAUUGGGACUUACUUUCGAAAAGAAAACGGGAGAAUUGUACAUAUGCGAUGGUUACUUGGGGCUCAUGAAAGUUGGACCAGAGGGAGGCUUGGCCGAGUUAAUUGUCAAUGAAGCCGAAGGUCGUAAAGUUAUGUUUGCCAACCAAGGGGACAUGGGCGAAGAGUAAGAUGAUUUCUACUUCAAUGAUAGUAGUGACAAGUAUCAUUUUCAUUUCAGGGACGUACUUUUGGAGGGUGUCCGUGGCGAGCCCUGGAAGAGUGAUCAGAUACGAUAAGAA